rnacentral:rRNA from 1 species
UACGAAGGGGGCUAGCGUUGUUCGGAUCUACUGGGCGUAAAGGGCGCGUAGGCGGAUUUUUAGGUCAGGGGUGAAAUCCCAAGGCUCAACCUUGGAACUGCCUUUGAUACUGGGAAUCUUGAGUCCGGGAGAGGUGAGUGGAACUGCGAGUGUAGAGGUGAAAUUCGUAGAUAUUCGCAAGAACACCAGUGGCGAAGGCGGCUCACUGGCCCGGAACUGACGCUGAGGCGCGAAAGCGUGGGGAGCAAACAGG